rnacentral:rRNA from 1 species
GACGAACGCUGGCGGCGUGCUUAACACAUGCAAGUCGUACGGUAAGGCCCUUUCGGGGGUACACGAGUGGCGAACGGGUGAGUAACACGUGCGUAACCUGCCCACAACUUUGGGAUAACGCUAGGAAACUGGUGCUAAUACUGGAUAUGUGCUCCUGCUGCAUGGUGGGGGUUGGAAAGCUCCGGCGGUUGUGGAUGGACUCGCGGCCUAUCAGCUUGUUGGUGGGGUAGUGGCCUACCAAGGCGGCGACGGGUAGCCGGCCUGAGAGGGUGACCGGCCACAUUGGGACUGGGAUACGGCCCAGACUCCUACGGGAGGCAGCAGUGGGGAAUAUUGCACAAUGGGCGCAAGCCUGAUGCAGCAACGCCGCGGGCGGGAUGACGGGCUUCGGGUUGUAAACCGCUUUCAGCAGGGACGAAGCUUUUUGUGACGGUACCUGCAGAAGAAGCACCGGCUAACUACGUG